rnacentral:rRNA from 1 species
GCAGUCGACGAUGAGCCCUUCGGGGUGGAUUAGUGGCGAACGGGUGAGUAACACGUGGGCAAUCUGCCCUUCACUCUGGGACAAGCCCUGGAAACGGGGUCUAAUACCGGAUAACACCGGCUUCCGCAUGGGAGCUGGUUAAAAGCUCCGGCGGUGAAGGAUGAGCCCGCGGCCUAUCAGCUUGUUGGUGGGGUAAUGGCCUACCAAGGCGACGACGGGUAGCCGGCCUGAGAGGGCGACCGGCCACACUGGGACUGAGACACGGCCCAGACUCCUACGGGAGGCAGCAGUGGGGAAUAUUGCACAAUGGGCGAAAGCCUGAUGCAGCGACGCCGCGUGAGGGAUGACGGCCUUCGGGUUGUAAACCUCUUUCAGCAGGGAAGAAGCGAAAGUGACGGUACCUGCAGAAGAAGCGCCGGCUAACUACGUGCCAGCAGCCGCGGUAAUACGUAGGGCGCAAGCGUUGUCCGGAAUUAUUGGGCGUAAAGAGCUCGUAGGCGGCUUGUCACGUCGGGUGUGAAAGCCCGGGGCUUAACCCCGGGUCUGCAUCCGAUACGG